rnacentral:rRNA from 1 species
UAGGGAAUCUUCCACAAUGGACGCAAGUCUGAUGGAGCAACGCCGCGUGAGUGAAGAAGGUCUUCGGAUCGUAAAGCUCUGUUGUUGGUGAAGAAGGAUAGAGGCAGUAACUGGUCUUUAUUUGACGGUAAUCAACCAGAAAGUCACGGCUAACUACGUGCCAGCAGCCGCGGUAAUACGUAGGUGGCAAGCGUUGUCCGGAUUUAUUGGGCGUAAAGCGAGCGCAGGCGGAAUGAUAAGUCUGAUGUGAAAGCCCACGGCUCAACCGUGGAACUGCACCGGAAACUGUCAUUCUUGAGUGCAGAAGAGGAGAGUGGAACUCCAUGUGUAGCGGUGGAAUGCGUAGAUAUAUGGAAGAACACCAGUGGCGAAGGCGGCUCUCUGGUCUGCAACUGACGCUGAGGCUCGAAAGCAUGGGUAGCGAACAGGAUUAGAUACCCUGGUAGUCCAUGCCGUAAACGAUGAGCGCUAGGUGUUGGGGACUUUCCGGUUCUCAGUGCCGCAGCAAACGCAUUAAGCGCUCCGCCUGGGGAGUACGACCGCAAGGUUGAAAC